rnacentral:rRNA from 1 species
AAGGAGGGUGCAAGCGUUGUCCGGAUUUAUUGGGUUUAAAGGGUGCGUAGGUGGUUUGCUAAGUCUGGUUUGAAAGUCAGUGGCUUAACCAUUGAGGGAGGCUGGAUACUGGUGAACUUGAAUGUUCUGGAGGUAGGCGGAACGGGUUGUGUAGCGGUGAAAUGCAUAGAUAUGACCCAGAACACCGAUUGCGAAGGCAGCCUACUACGGGACGAUUGACACUGAUGCACGAGAGCAUGGGGAGCAAACAG